AGCGAACGCUGGCGGCAGGCCUAACACAUGCAAGUCGAACGAACUCUUCGGAGUUAGUGGCGGACGGGUGAGUAACACGUGGGAACGUGCCUUUUGGUUCGGAAUAACUCAGGGAAACUUGUGCUAAUACCGAAUGUGCCCUUCGGGGGAAUGAUGUAUCGCCAUUAGAGCGGCCCGCGUCUGAUUAGCUAGUUGGUGAGGUAACGGCUCACCAAGGCGGCGAUCAGUAGCUGGUCUGAGAGGAUGACCAGCCACACUGGGAGUGAGACACGGCCCAGACUCCUACGGGAGGCAGCAGGGGGGAAUCUGGCGCAACGGGCGAAAGACUGACGCAGCCAUGCCGCGUGAAUGGUGAAGGUCUUAGGAUUGUAAAAUUCUUUCAACGGGGACGAUAAUGACGGUACCCGGAGAAGAAGCCCCGGCUAACUUCGUG
rnacentral:rRNA from 1 species